rnacentral:tRNA from 1 species
UCCCUGGUAGCCCAGUGGCUAAGACUGCAUUCCCAAUGCAGAUGGCCUGGGUUCAAUUCCUAGUCAGGAAG